AGAGUUUGAUCCUGGCUCAGAACGAACGUUAGCGGCGCGCCUAAGACAUGCAAGUCGAGCGAGAAAGGGCUUCGGCCCCGGUAAAGCGGCGCACGGGUGAGUAACACGUAGGUAAUCAACCCUCGAGUGGUGGACAACUCUCCGAAAGGAGAGCUAAUACAGCAUGAUGGCGCGACUUUCCGAAGUCGUGCCCAAAGCGGGCCUCUCCAUGGAAGCUCGCGCUUGAGGAUGAGCCUGCGGCCCAUCAGCUAGUUGGUCGGGGUAAUGGCCCACCAAGGCUACGACGGGUAGCUGGUCUGAGAGGAUGAACAGCCACACUGGAACUGAGACACGGUCCAGACUCCUACGGGAGGCAGCAGUCGGGAAUCUUCCGCAAUGGGCGAAAGCCUGACGGAGCGACGCCGCGUGAGCGAUGAAGGCCUUCGGGUUGUAAAGCUCUGUGGGGAGGGAAGAAUAAGGGUGAGUUAAUAGCUCAUCUGAUGACGGUACCUCCUUAGCGAGCACCGGCUAACUCUGUGCCAGCAGCCGCGGUA
rnacentral:rRNA from 1 species